rnacentral:rRNA from 1 species
AUACUGCCAGACUUGGAACCGGGAGAGGUAAGAGGUACUACAGGGGUAGGAGUGAAAUCUUGUAAUCCCUGUGGGACCACCUGUGGCGAAGGCGUCUUACCAGAACGGGUUCGACGGUGAGGGACGAAAGCUGGGGGCACGAACCGGAUUAGAUACCCGGGUAGUCCCAGCCGUAAACGAUGCUCGCUAGGUGUCAGGCAUGGCGCGACCGUGUCUGGUGCCGCAGGGAAGCCGUGAAGCGAGCCACCUGGGAAGUACGGCCGCAAGGCUGAAACUUAAAGGAAUUGGCGGGGGAGCACAACAACGGGUGGAGCCCUGCGGUUUAAUUGGACUCAACGCCGGACAACUCACCGGGGGCGACAGCAAUAUGUAGGCCAAGCUGAAGACUUUGCCUGAAUCGCUGAGUGGUGGUGCAUGG